rnacentral:rRNA from 1 species
CCUACGGGAGGCAGCAGUGAGGAAUAUUGGUCAAUGGCCGUAAGGCUGAACCAGCCAAGUAGCGUGAGGGAAGACUGCCCUAUGGGUUGUAAACCUCUUUUAUGCGGGGAUAAAGGCUUCCACGUGUGGAUGUUUGCAUGUACCGCAUGAAUAAGGACCGGCUAAUUCCGUGCCAGCAGCCGCGGUAAUACGGAGGGUCCGGGCGUUAUCCGGAUUUAUUGGGUUUAAAGGGAGCGUAGGCCGGUCUUUAAGUCGGCCGUGAAAUUUUGUGGCUCAACCAUGAGAGUGCGGUGCGAACUGGAGACCUUGAGUGGGAGGAAGGCAGGCGGAAGUCGUGGUGUAGCGGUGAAAUGCUUAGAUAUCACGAAGAACCCCGAUUGCGAAGGCAGCCUGCCGCAGCGUUACUGACGCUGAAGCGCGAAAGCGCGGGUAUCGAACAGGAUUAGAUACUCGUGUAGUC